GGACUGAACGUAACUUUUAGAAUUCUGAUACAGAGCUGAAACACGGGAUGGGACUCCGACUGAAGCUCCUCUCAUUCCACUUCCCCUCUCCAUGGAAGGGAGCCGCUUCACCGGAAAACCGUGCAGACUGAAGUCCAUCACUGGAGUGGUCAUGCGGUAACUUGGGUUUCUCGUUUUUAAAUAACGAGACCUAAAAACCUGAGUAAGAUCCUCUCACAAAUAUCAGCAGCACUGCCUGCCUCACGUGUUUGCUCUCUUCUUUGUAACGUUCCUAAUAGAGAAAACAUUUGCCCGAAGCACAGACAUUCUGAGCUCUCUGCUAAACUAACAUGCUUAGGGAACCAAAAGCAAAUGGAACAACAUUUUGGAAAAAUCUCCUAGAUUCUGCCUUCGUAUGAACUAAAAAAAAAACCCAAAACUUAGAGUUAAGGGGUUAUUUUCCUGACUUUAGGGCUCAACUGAAAAAUGCCCACCCUGGAGUCCACCAGAAAGGCCAAUGUCUUGACCCAAUGCUGUUACUAACCUACAUGCUUCUCACACCUUCCGAGAGAAAGGAGAAGUCAGAUAAUAUAUUAACUCAUAUGCAAACAGAGUUUGAUGAAUUCCUUGAUCUAUUCUAAUUUGAGGGGUGAACCAUAAAUAAAGGGCAAGCAGGUGGUUGGUAUGAUUACACCUGAGAAUAAUUUUCCUUUAUAGGCAGAAUCAUAAACAAGGCCAGAAACUUUGGAGAGUUUGCCUUUGUAAUUAUUUGGAGUUGACUGACUUUCCAGUUUCUCCCUCUUCCAGCCAUCUUCCCUUAUCUCCAAGAAAAACUGUACUUAGAAAAGUGCCUGAUACAUUUCUGUUAAAUGAGUGAAUGGAUAAGUGGUUAUGUGAAGAUAUAAAACACCCCAGGCUUACUGUAACAAUAGGUAAUCAAUAAAAGUGCGUUCAGUUGUGAUCUUGUGAAUUAUUCUAUAUUGGAAUAUAAAAACAUCGGAAGGAUGGGAAUUCCCGGGAGAUCCAGUGGUUUAAGAUUCCACUUCUCCACUGUAGGGGGCCCGGGUUCUAUCACUGGGCAGGGAAUUUAAGAUCCCACAAACAAUGAGGUACAGCUUAAAAAAAAAAAAAAAGUCCUAAGGUCCUGUAAUAGAGGAACUCGCCAGGUAGCUGCGGUCUUUUAUCCCAUUUUGUCAGCUUUCUAGGUUGAGUUUACUUUCUUCUCCUUCCACCCACUUCUCAUCUCACUCUUCUCCAGCCAAUUACAAGCCAGAUGCAGUCUCUGCUUUGCGGCUUAGAGGAAUUACUAGGCAUGAAGUUAUUUUACAGAUCCUGCAUUUGAAGUGUUUGAAAUAACGGAACCAUGAAUAGUGAUGAGAAAUGCAGACCCUCACACAAAAAGGAGAGUGAAGAAUGAAGCAGUUACAGAAUAGUUAGCUCUCUACCCGCAACAGCCCCCUGAGCGAUCCUGCGGGCAGAUCAUGAAGGGAAGACAGCAUGUGAAGGGAGAGACGUCCGCUCGACAUGCGACGGAGAAGGAUGCGGAGCCCAGCGUCCUGCCUCCACGAUUCACUGAGAUCCUGCCCCCUUUUCCAUUUAAAACCUGUCUUGGUGGAGCAGAAUCUUCAGAGUUGGUCUCAAGACAGAAGUCCACCUUCUCCUCAGAUUGCUAUUCUUUUUUUAAAAAAUAAUUGUAUUUAUGUGGCUAUUUUUGGCUGCACUGGGUCUUUGCUGCUGCGCAAGGCUCUCUCUAGGUGCAGUGACUGGGGCCUGUCAUCUAGCUGCAGCGCAGAGGCUCCUUGUCGCAGAGCACAGGCGCUACAGCACUCGGGCCUCAGCGGCUGCAGGCACGGGCUCAGCAGCUCGCACCUGGGCUUAGAUGCUCCCAGGCGAGCCAGGCUUCCUGGACCAGGGACCGAACGGGUGUCCCCUGCAUUGCAAGACGGACUCAACCACUGGACCACUGUGGUCGUUCGUGGCUCCUCUGAUUAAAGCACGUUUCCUGUCUACUGACUCUUGCCUCUCUAAUUAUCGGCUUUUAAUAAGUUGACCUAAUAAAUAUUUAUUGACCUAAUAAAUCAAGUCACUAUCACCAGGCCUUUCAGAUCAGUUCAGUUCAGUCGCUCAGUCGUGUCCAACUCUUUGCCACCCCAUGGACUGCAGCACGCCAGGCCUCCCUGU